rnacentral:rRNA from 1 species
UACAGAGGUCUCAAGCGUUGUUCGGAUUCAUUGGGCGUAAAGGGUGCGUAGGCGGCGCGGUAAGUCGGGUGUGAAAUCUCGGAGCUUAACUCCGAAACUGCAUUCGAUACUGUCGUGCUUGAGGACUGGAGAGGAGACUGGAAUUUACGGUGUAGCGGUGAAAUGCGUAGAGAUCAUGAGGAAGACCAGUGGCGAAGGCGGGUCUCUGGACAGUUCCUGACACUGAGACACGAAGGCUAGGGGAGCAAACGGG